rnacentral:rRNA from 1 species
GAUGAACGCUGGCGGCGUGCCUAACACAUGCAAGUCGAACGAUCAGAGGACGAGCGGGCUUGUCUAAUGUUGCCGGCGGACGUGUGACAACUACGCGGGUAACCUCUCUAUAAGACAGUGCUAGCUUCAGGAGAUCAUACCGCAUACCACCUAAUGACUUCAACGGGAUAGUGCAAUACUGAACGCGGGUUGUGCGGCCGCUUACAGAUUGAGCCGCGUCGCAUUAGCUAGUUGGUCAGGUAAAGGCUUACCAAGGCAACGAUGCGUAGCCGACCUGAGAGGGUGAUCGGCCACACUGGAACUGAGACACGGUCCAGACUCCUACGGGAGGCAGCAGUAGGGAAUCUUGCGCAAUGGGCGAAAGCCUGACGGAGCAACGCCGCGUGAGUGAUGAAGGUCUUCGGAUCGUAAAACUCUGUUAUUAGGGAAGAACAAAUGUGUGAGUAACUAUGCACGUAUUGACGGUACCUAAAGAGAAAGCCCCGGCUAACUACGUG